CCCAUAUAAGCAGAGCAGGAGGAGCCCAGCCCCAAGCUGGGCCCAUUGCGGGCCAAGGGAUCCUCCGCCGGCAUCCCAGGUUCUGCGGUGGAUGCAGACAUGGAGCAGGAGCAGAACUGGAGCUGGGAACCGACCAGGAGCAGCAGCUGGGAAUGGAACUGGUAACGGAGCAGAAGCGGGCUGGCUGGAGGAGCACAGGGGCCGGAGCUGCAUUCAGCUGCCCGGGGGCAGGCAGCGCUGCCAGGACCCUGGCGCACACCCGCACAGGCUGUGCCGUGCCCCGGCAGGAGCUUUUGCAGCAGCUGCUCUCCGCUGCGGGUUCAGUGUCCUGCUGCAAGGAGGCUCUGCCUGCAGCUCAGAGCUGCCUUGCACCGUCUCAAGGGGCUCUCCAGGAAGGAGUCCCUCAGCCUGCUCUCAGCUCUCCUUCAGCUGCUGAAACGUAGCUCGAAGGUCUCCCUGGAGCCUUCUCCUCUCCAGGCUGAGCAGCCACAGCUCUCUCAGGCUGCCUUCACAGCAGAGCUUCUCCCACCCUCUGCUCAUGUUUGUGGCCUGCUCUGGAAGCCCUCCAGCAGCUCCCUGUCUCCCUUGUGUUGGGGGUGCCCCAGAGCUGGCCACAGCAGUCCAGGCUGAGCUCUCCCCAAAGCAGAGGGGCAGAUGGUUCACAAGCACAGACCCCACAGGCUGCCCAACGACCUUCCCACACUGCAGCUACAGGUUUCAGUCACAUCCUUUUAGUGUCAAAGCUGAGAGACUUGAGGGCUAAGGCACCAGCAGCACUGUGCUUCAAGCCAGAGAAACACCAAAUAAAAGGAGACCUCUCUUAAUUGCAGUUUAAUUGCCCAAGCCAAGCACUAAGACAAGGAACAUGCAGAUGAAUUGGGUGACUUGCAGAGCCUAAACAGCUUUAUGAGGCUUCUCCAACACAGUGCCCGGUUACAAACUGCUUCCCUGUGGAAGCAUUUUCACUUCCAGUGUUCUCCAAGCACCUGAUUUUUCACACAGACCCUUUCCCCUGUGGCCCCAAAGGUCUUCAUUAGUUAAAGGAAGAUUUUCUUUGCUUUCCAGUAAGGACAAUAAGAGAAAUGCUUUGGUCUAAAAAAUCCUUGAAGCUUUCCUCUUGGUUUGUUGAAAUGAGCUGUAA